GCACCGGCUAACUCCGUGCCAGCAGCCGCGGUAAUACGGAGGGGUGCGAGCGUUAAUCGGAAUUACUGGGCGUAAAGCGCAUGCAGGCGGCCUGUUAAGUCUAGAUGUGAAAGCCCGGGGCUUAACCUCGGAAUUGCAUUUGAAACUGGCAGGCUAGAGUCUUGUAGAGGGGGGUAGGAAUUUCAGGUGUAGCGGUGAAAUGCGUAGAGAUCUGAAGGAAUACCAGUGGCGAAGGCGGCCCCCUCGGACAAAGACUGACGCUCAGAUGCGAAAGCGUGGGGAGCAAACAGGAUUAGAUACCCUGGUAG
rnacentral:rRNA from 1 species